rnacentral:rRNA from 1 species
UCCGUAGGUGAACCUGCGGAGGGAUCAUUACACAAAUAUGAAGGCGGGCUGGAACCUCCCGGGGUUACAGCCUUGCUGAAUUAUUCACCCUUGUCUUUUGCGUACUUCUUGUUUCCUUGGUGGGUUCGCCCACCACUAGGACAAACAUAAACCUUUUGUAAUUGCAAUCAGCGUCAGUAACAAAUUAAUAAUUACAACUUUCAACAACGGAUCUCUUGGUUCUGGCAUCGAUGAAGAACGCAGCGAAAUGCGAUAAGUAGUGUGAAUUGCAGAAUUCAGUGAAUCAUCGAAUCUUUGAACGCACAUUGCGCCCUUUGGUAUUCCAAAGGGCAUGCCUGUUCGAGCGUCAUUUGUACCCUCAAGCUUUGCUUGGUGCUGGGCGUCUUGUCUCUAGCUUUGCUGGAGACUCGCCUUAAAGUAAUUGGCAGCCGGCCUACUGGUUUCGGAGCGCAGCACAAGUCGCACUCUCUAUCAGCAAAGGUCUAGCAUCCAUUAAGCCUUUUUUUCAACUUUUGACCUCGGAUCAGGUAGGGAUACCCGCUGAACUUAAGCAUAUCAAUAAGCGGAGGAA